rnacentral:rRNA from 1 species
AGCGAACGCUGGCGGCAGGCCUAACACAUGCAAGUCGAACGGAUCCUUCGGGAUUAGUGGCGGACGGGUGAGUAACACGUGGGAACGUGCCCUUUGGUUCGGAACAACUCAGGGAAACUUGAGCUAAUACCGGAUGUGCCCUUCGGGGGAAAGAUUUAUCGCCAUUGGAGCGGCCCGCGUCUGAUUAGCUAGUUGGUGAGGUAAAGGCUCACCAAGGCGACGAUCAGUAGCUGGUCUGGGAGGAUGAUCAGCCGCAUUGGGACUGAGACACGGCCCAAACUCCUACGGGAGGCAGCAGUGGGGAAUCUUGCGCAAUGGGCGAAAGCCUGACGCAGCCAUGCCGCGUGGAUGAUGAAGGUCUUAGGAUUGUAAAAUUCUUUCACCGGGGACGAUAAUGACGGUACCCGGAGAAGAAGCCCCGGCUAACUUCGUGCCAGCCGCCGCCGUAAUAC